rnacentral:rRNA from 1 species
AUUGAACGCUGGCGGCAUGCCUUACACAUGCAAGUCGAACGGCAGCACGGGGCAACCUGGUGGCGAGUGGCGAACGGGUGAGUAAUGCAUCGGAACGUACCUUUCAGUGGGGGAUAACGUAGCGAAAGUUACGCUAAUACCGCAUAUUCUGUGAGCAGGAAAGCAGGGGAUCGCAAGACCUUGCGCUGAUUGAGCGGCCGAUGUCAGAUUAGCUAGUUGGUGAGGUAAAGGCUCACCAAGACGACGAUCUGUAGCGGGUCUGAGAGGAUGAUCCGCCACACUGGAACGUAGACACGGUCCAGACUCCUACGGGAGGCAGCAGUGUGGAAUUUUGGACAAUGGGGGCAACCCUGAUCCAGCCAUGCCGCGUGAGUGAAGAAGGCCUUCGGGUUGUAAAGCUCUUUCGGCCGGGAAGAAAUCGCACGGGCUAAUACCCUGUGUGGAUGACGGUACCGGAAUAAGAAGCACCGGCUAACUACGUGCCAGCCGCCGCCGUAAUAC